CUCUGGUAGUUGGGUAGUUGAAAUAAAUAAAACUGAUCCGACGUGGACCCUAAUUUCGGUCCUAUCUAUAAUUUAAUUAGAUUUUUAUAUUAUUGCAAUUGACGGGGCGACAGAAAUACGAAUUCUUAAACAAUUUACUAUGCGAAAACGAAACAAAAAUAAUAAUAAAAAAAAAAAGUGAAAAUGCGUUUAGGAGACAAAUCACACCACAACUGGAAUGCAAAUAAGUAUGCACCUUUUUGUUUCUGAAGCCCCCGUAUGUGUAUCGCUGGUCAUUGUGUGUUUCCUGAAAAGUGCACAACGUAACUAACGCACCAUCUAUUCAAAAAGGCAUUUGAACAAAUUUUAGCGAAUUGAAAUCAUGAACCAGCUCUAAUUCUCGGAGCUACCCUUAGGGAAACGAGCAUGCAAUGUUCUACAACAAGCUACAAUGUAAACGCAUCUAAUGAAAUGUAAGAAAAAGCUAUGAAUUUACCUCAGCUGCAGACUUUAUUUAAAUUGAAUACAAUUGUUUUUACUUUUACCAGUUUUAUUUAUGUAUUGUAUAUGCAAUUUACAAUAUGAAAGGAACAUCUAUCUUUGUUUACUUGUUUUUCAUUUUGUA